CCAGAUUUGACAUCAUCCCUCUUCUGUGCCAGAAGGAACAAUUAGUCCUUCCAUAAAUAGAUCAAUAUUUGCUCAUGCUGUAGACUAUGGAAUCCAACCUGUAGUAUCCUUUCUGCAUGUUGGCACCAAGCCCACCUCAUGAAACCAGCAAUGGGCAUUUUUCUAAUUCUACUUUCAAAGGUCCCAUUAUGGGUAAUAGAAAAGAACAUGAAAAAGUCUAUACCUUUUUUUUUCUCCUGCCAUUUUCCAAAAGUUCAUCUUCAAAAGGCAGGAAAAUGAAGCCAACAGGCACUAGAAACAUCCUGCAUGGAAAUCAUUCAAGGCUCACAAGUUUAUUACGUAAAUGUUGUAGCUGCCAGGUCCCCUUCCUGGGAGGAUUCCUUGAGGCACCAGCAGAGCAGCUUCCAGAACACAAGUCGUUAAGGAGCACAAAAAUGUAUUUCAAAUGCACAACUGUAAUGCCUUCUGCAUUGAGACAUGUCUACAAUAAACAUGGUCCAACUGGAUUACCAACUGCACCAUAGACACAGUACCUGAAUUAAAUAGCAGAAGAUAAGAGACUUGAAUAUUUGUAGCCUUUGAACAUAUUCUUCUGAGAUAGGACAUUCUUUGUUCCCUAAACUUGUAUGGGACAUUAGAGUUUCCUACCCAGUAUGUCCCAGUGCUCAAACUAUUUUUUAUUAUCUUCAGAGUUUUUCUUUCUGUCUUAAUUAAAAGAGUAGUUUUUACAGAGCUACAGAAUAAAUAAAACUCUGACGUAUUUUCACAUUCACACG
rnacentral:lncRNA from 1 species